rnacentral:rRNA from 1 species
UGCCCACUGAUAAUUAAUUAAAGGGCUGCAGUAAUUUGACUGUACAAAGGUAGCAUAAUCAUUAGUCAUUUAAUUGAUGACUUGUAUGAAAGAUUGGAUGAAAUAUAAUCUGUCUUUUAUUUAUAUUUAGAAUUUAAUUUUUUAAUUAAAAAGUUAAAAUAAUUUAAAAAGACGAGAAGACCCUAUAGAGUUUUAUAAAUAAAUUAAUUAAAAUUAUUAAUAAAUUGUAUAAAUUAAAAUUAAUUUAUUUAUUUUGUUGGGGUGAUAAAAAAAUAUAUAAAACUUUUUUUUUAAAAAAAACAUGUAUAAAUGAAUAUUUGAUCCUUUAUUAUUGAUUAAAAGAAAAAAUUACCUUAGGGAUAACAGCGUAAUUUUUUUUUUUAGUUCAUAUAAAAAAAAGAGUUUGCGACCUCGAUGUUGGAUUAAGAUAAAAUUUAAAUGCAGAAGUUUAAAGUUUUUGA